UAUAAUCCCAGCUACUCAGGAGGCUGAGACGGAAUCCUCGAACCCCAGUGGGGCAGAGGUUGCAGUGAGCUAAGAUUGCGCUACUUCACUCCAGUCUGGGUGAAAGAGUGAAACUCACGUCUCAAACAAAGGUCGGGGGACAAAAACGUAUGUCAGAGACCCCCCACCCCACCCCAGGAAUCCUCAAACCAUAUUUGGGAGUUGGGAUAGAGGAUUUGGGAAAUAAAUCAAUGUGAUGGUUAAUUUUAGGUGUCGACUGGGUUAAGGAAUACUAGACAACUGUUGGAGCAUUAUUUCUGGAUGUAUCUCUGAGGGUGUUUUCAGGGGAGACUGGUAUGCGAGUCAGUGGACUGAGUGGAAAAGAUCUGCCAUCAAUAUCUUUGGGUACCUUCCAAUCAGCUGUGGGCCCAACAGAGCAAAAGGCAGAGGAAAGCAGGGGACCUCUGGCCAGCAACACCCCACCCAAGCCUUGCUUGGCUACACUGGCAUGCCCCAGCUCACCUGUGUUACAGCGUGUACUCACGUUCAGCAGUUCCUGAGCUCUUGUGCUAUGCCCAAGAAGAAUGAGGAUACACUAGACAUUGAAGGGUAAGGAGGGAUGAGAAGAAUUUUAUCAAGCAACUGAACAGCGCUCAGCAGAGAGGGGAUGCUGGCACCCCUACCCAAAGGCGGGAAAGUUCCCCCUGUGUGGCUGGGUCUAGGCCUGUUUUAUGGACUCAUAAUGGGAAGUGUGUGCUGAUUGGUUUGUGAGUAUGCAAAAAAGGUUAAAGUGAAGACACCACUCAAAGGUGGCCACAACGGUGUAAAAAACCAAUUAGGAAAGGGUGAGUAUAUGGAAAGUAGUUGAAGGGUGGGGACCAAUCAGAGGAAAGUGCACCAAACAUGAAGACAAGUUCUCAACAAGUUCUCAAUCUGGGCUGAGGAUUUACCUUGUAGUUUGGCUUUCAGGCUUUAAACUCUCUUCAGCUUGGAGGUGGGGUUUCACCAGGCACCCAUUGCUACCUGCCUUUGCAUCUGACUGCCUCCUGUCUGCUAUCACUAGGUCCCAAGGUUUGUCGCAAGGACCCCUUACAAAGAUAUCCCCCACAGUCUACCCAAAGGUUAACCUCAGAACAUAUUUCAUUGUCAGAGUGAGAAACAAAUACACGUGAAAAUACAGUAUGGCACAAAUAAGGAGCAAGAGGUGAAGAAAGGCUCAGUCACACCCAAAAUAAUUUUGUGAAAAAUAUAAAAUAUGCAGUUACUGACAGCACUAACUCUGGAUACCAGAAAAUUCUACAAUUCAGUAAUGGAUCUGAGACCUGAAUUUUGGAGGUACUAAAAUAGAUGCAGUAGAUCUAGUUUUCAUUCUUUUCAUACUUUCAUUUGGAUCUGUGGUAAAAGAUGAUAAUAUAAAAAAAAGAAGGAUGAUAAUAUCUUCUAUGUAACAAUUACAUGCAAGGGGAUGUCUGCAAACUGCCACAGUAUCAUUUUAAUUAAUACCUAUCUUCUUAAAAUCAUUUCAUUUUUCCACCCAGUUCUCCUGAUAUUUCUGUUACGAUAUAAAAGACAGCUGAAUGUGAAGAAACACUGAUUUUACACAUAACACACACAUUAAUGAUUCAAAUAGGUAAACACAGAGAGCUGCACACACUUUGAGAGGUAGGGCUGAAAUUUUUCAUCAAUGUGUACAAUUCAAUAUAGUUUCAGUUUUCAUUCUAACCUUCCCCAGUGGCUUCUGCCCAGCAACUGAUGAGAAAUGGUAACUCUGAGCCAAUCAAAACACAAAUUCCUACAAAGAGGAUUAUCUUACUGUUUCUCAGAUCGAGUGUACAGCACAUGCUUUCUUUUCCUUUAUUCUGGAUCAGAGAAUCUUAACUAAAGCAGAAAUUAUUGUGUUAAAUUAAACUAAAUUUGGUAUAAGAUAUACCUACAUUUAGCCUGAGGGAUGGCUCCUUACUUGAGCCCUUAAAUAAUGAACUGCAACCUAACUUAGUAUGUAAACUAACUGAAAGCUUAAGGCACAGGAGUAUACUUUUGUAACAAAUAGCUGAGUCUCAGCCAAUCCCAGUAGUCGAACUUCAGUCGGCUCCAGUCAACCCUGCAGCCAGUGAUCAGACUAUGUUCAAAUAAGGCCAACUCUGAGCUGUAACCAAUUAAGCUGUUUCCGUUUGUCACUUCCCUUGUGGAAUGGAGCUCACUCAACCUCUCUGAUGGCUUCCUGAUCAUUCUGAUGGUUUGCAAAUUGUUCUUUGUUCAAAUUAAACUGCUAAAUUUAA